rnacentral:rRNA from 1 species
AUUGAACGCUGGCGGCAUGCUUUACACAUGCAAGUCGAACGGUAACAGGUCUUCGGAUGCUGACGAGUGGCGAACGGGUGAGUAAUGCAUCGGAACGUGCCCAGUCGUGGGGGAUAACGCAGCGAAAGCUGCGCUAAUACCGCAUACGACCUAUGGAUGAAAGCGGGGGACCGUAAGGCCGUGCGCGAUUGGCGCGGCCGAUGUCAGAUUAGGUAGUCUGUGGGGUAAAGGCCCACCAAGCCAACGAUCUGUAGCUAGUCUGAGAGGACGACCAGCCACACUGGGGCUGAAGCACGGCCCAGACUCCUACGGGAGGCAGCAGUGGGGAAUUUUGGACAAUGGGCGCAAGCCUGAUCCAGCAAUGCCGCGUGCAGGAAGAAGGCCUUCGGGUUGUAAACUGCUUUUGUACGGAACGAAACGGCUCUCUCUAAUACAGAGGGCUAACGACGGUACCGUAAGAAUAAGCACCGGCUAACUACGUGCCAGCCGCCGCCGUAA